rnacentral:rRNA from 1 species
UACGUAGGCAGCGAGCGUUGUUCGGAGUUACUGGGCGUAAAGGGUGCGUAGGCGGUUAUCUAAGUUUGGUGUGAAAUCUCCCGGCUCAACCGGGAGGGUGCGCCGAAUACUGAAUGACUUGGAGUGCGGGAGAGGUGAGUGGAAUUCCUGGUGUAGCGGUGAAAUGCGUAGAUAUCAGGAGGAACACCGGUGGUGUAGACGGCUCACUGGACCGUAACUGACGCUGAGACACGAAAGCGUGGGUAGCAAACAGG